rnacentral:rRNA from 1 species
UACGAAGGGAGCUAGCGUUGUUCGGAAUCACUGGGCGUAAAGCGCACGUAGGCGGAUUUGCCAGUCAGGGGUGAAAUCCCGGGGCUCAACCUCGGAACUGCCUUUGAUACAGCAAGUCUUGAGUUCGGGAGAGGUGAGUGGAACUGCGAGUGUAGAGGUGAAAUUCGUAGAUAUUCGCAAGAACACCAGUGGCGAAGGCGGCUCACUGGCCCGAUACUGACGCUGAGGCACGAAAGCGUGGGGAGCAAACAGG